GGCCACUUCCUUUCUGUAGAGAGUGCCUGCAGAAGGCACGCAGCUUCCCUCCCCUGAUACAGCCUCACCGUGUGACUUUGACUGUCUGUCCCUCACGAGGUGGGGUCCAUUCCCUCAUCCCUGUGUCUGACUUGCAAUGGAGCCAGCAGGCCAUGGGCUGAAGCCUCUGAAGUCAGGAGCAAAAUACAUGCUAUAUCCUGUAAAUUCUCUCAGCUUGUCUACCAGGGCUGGUCCAUGACCUCCUGUACUCUAACAAGGUCAUAAAUCAUCUUAUCCUAUGCCGAGGAGGUAGAGAACCAGGGAGAUCCUGGAGCUGCUCCAGGGGCUGUUCUAGAACUCUCUAUGUGGUGGGAAGACUCAGUUCCUGCUGGCUGGAUGAUCAAGGACUUGGGAUUUUGUUGACUGUCACCUGGAGUCCACUUGCAGGUGUUCCUACAGUCCACAGCUCUGCAGUUGUUAAACGGCUGAGAGAGUUGGCCUUCCAUCACUGUGACAAAAUGUCCGAGAUGAUCAACUUAUCGGGAGAGAUUUAUUUGACUCACAGUUCCAGAGGCCUCGAUGCACGGUUGACUGGUCCAGCCAGUGGCGAGGGAGCAUGCAAGGCCACAUGGCACAGGAAGCUGCUCAUCUCAUAGCAGCCGGGAAGCAAAGAGAGAUGGGAAAGCACCAAAUCCCCUUCAAAGACACACCCCGAUCCUUCUAAAGGUUCCUCCAUCUCCCAACAGCCACAGGCUGGGGGCCAGCCUUCACCAGGUGGCACUUUGUGGGGCAUGGAUUGAAACCACAUCAGCUGUAUACGACAUCAAGCCAUCAGACUCUGCAAAAGUCUGAGACAGGAUUGUGCAAUGUCACAUCAUCAUGAUAAUGAUGACCCAAGACCUUUGCCAGAAAGUCAGAAGCAAGGGACCAGAGAAACAGCUCGGUAGUUACAAGCACUCACUGCUCUUCCAGAGGAUAUGGGUUCGAAUUCCAGCACCCACACGGUGGGUCGCAACCAUCUAUAACAGUAGUCCCAUGGGAUCCGAUGCCCUCUUUGGUGUGCAGACAUAUGUACAGACAACGCACCUAUUUAUGUAAAAUAAAUGUAUUUUAUGAGAAGCCAGCUCCCAGGUCCAGGGAGCUACUCUCCUCUUCUCUGUAACAUAAUGCCUGGUGAAGGCAACUUCAGGAAAGAUGCAGCACCUGGUCACAUCACAUCCGCAGUCGGGAAGGACAAGCACCCACAGUUAGUCCCUGGAAAUCCCUUUAUGGGCACACACAGAAGUGUGUCUUCUAGGUGACCCUAAGUCCCUCAAGUUGACCAUCAAGCUCAGCCAUCAAGUCUAGUCCACAUUCAAGUGAAAAAAACACACAAAGGUGUGGGCACCGGGAGGUGGGAAGUCACGGCAGUCACCCUGGGGUGCCAAGACCUCCCACUUUGGUUUUGUAUCUUCUGUGCUGUAUAGACGGGCCACUGGCUCAAUGAAGAGGCUUCAGCUCUUUGUCAUGGUUUCUUCUCCAGCUGCCAUAGCUGGGGGUCUCUGCUGGGGGGGUGCUAUGGUGUGUAUGUGUAGGUGUGUGUGUACAAGUGUGUGUACAGGUGUGCAAGUGUGUGAUGUGUGUAUAUGUGUGUGCACAAGUGUGUGCAAGUGUGUAAGUGUGUAUACAGAUGUGUGAGUGUGUGCAGGUGUGUGCAAGGGUGUGUUUGUGUACAGAUGCUUGUGCAUGCGUGUACAGACAUGUACACCAUGUGCACAGGGCACCGCGUGUCCUGCUCUGUCACUCUCAUUCUCCACCUUAUUCCCUAGAGGUCUCUCACUGAACCAGGAGCUAGGAUGGCAUCCAGCAAACCCCAUGGACCCCUCCUGUCUAACCUGAGUCCCACUCUGAGGUUAUAGGCACACGGUGGCCAUACACACCUCCGUUAUUUUAACGUGGGCCCAACCCAGCUCCUUAAAUUCUUACCCACUGAGUCAUCUUGCCAGCCCCUGAGGUCUCUUUUGAAUGACCUAUCCAUCUCCCACCCUUCCCCCAAGCUCACUGUGUGACCUCAGGCCAGUUGCUUGUAUCUUCUGCGCUUUAAUGUUUCCAGCUAUAAAACAAGAGGAGGUGAAUAGUCUCAGCUGCCUAGUGGUGGCUUGUGGGGACACGAUGUUUAUGGAAAAGUCUGCAUAUUGACACAUGAAGAGGGCCAAACAUAUUAACUAUUUUUAUCAUUGUUAUUCUCAGCUUCUGCCUCAGUCAGUUCCAAACGACUCUGGAGGAACCUUCUCUCAUUCUGCAGAUAUCACGGGGAGCCUUCGGUGUGUGGUACGUGGGGGUAGCUCUACCCCGUCUUCCUGGGCCCACGUUCUGCCCUGGGAGCCCUUCCUAUAUGCCCUGUCAGGACUUCACCGUGCAAAUUUAGGACAAUGAGUCUUAAGAGGCAUUAAUAUUUCAUGCUUUGCUCUGGUGUUCUGCUAAAUCGUGUGUGCAGUUUCUGGGAACAGCCAGGCCCAGCUGUUCCUGCCGGUCAGCUGAGCACGGCCCAGUGUCUUGUCCCAGUGUGGCACUGGAGGGCUCUCCUCUCACCACAAGAGCCUGGAACAAGAUGUGUCUAAGCUAAGGAUGCAGGGAGGUGUGGCUGAGUCUGAGGCUGUGGCACAAUAGAGGAAGAUGUCCUGAGGGACAGGGAGGGAAAGGCAUCAGAGGACCCGUGCAGACUGGGGACACCGCAGAGAUGCCCGUGUGUGUCCUCCAUCUUGUCCUUGGGAGGCAGGGUUGAAUGAAGAGGCCACAAUAUACCACAAUAGACGCGCCCUGUUGUGAAGCUAUUAAUAUUCUUUCUGACUGACAUGUUCCUUUG